UUUGUUUACCCAGUUCGGUCCAAUAAUGACCUAGUCUGGGGGAGAGAGCAGCCCCUCCGUUCCACUAUAUCAAACGAGUAACUUUACAAAGAAAUUCCAAAUUAGGUUACAAGAAUUAAUCCUAAUUCUACCCAAAUCCCGAAUCUCUUCCCGUGGCCAAGAGACUCAAUUUGAUAAGUGUUUCCCAAGGUGUACCACAAAGAUAGUUCUCCCACCCUAGAGUUAUACCAAGAGAAAACUUUAUUUCCUCUCUAAAACCCUAGCCCUUGUGUGGUGGCAAACCCUAAUCCUUGCCUCUACAUUGUUGCUCCCUUUCCCUCUCUCUCAAUUUUUCUAUGAAUAAAGCACUUCCUAUUUAUAGAAAAAUAUAUGCCAAAAAUUAGUAACAAAUCUGUUUUAAAAUAAAACAAAUCCAAGUCAGAA
rnacentral:lncRNA from 1 species